rnacentral:rRNA from 1 species
UACGAAGGGGGCUAGCGUUGUUCGGAAUUACUGGGCGUAAAGCGCGCGCAGGCGGCUAUCCAAGUCAGUGGUGAAAGCCCGGAGCUCAACUCCGGAACUGCCAUUGAAACUGUUUAGCUUGAGGACGAGAGAGGUGAGUGGAAUUCCCAGUGUAGAGGUGAAAUUCGUAGAUAUUGGGAAGAACACCGGUGGCGAAGGCGGCUCACUGGCUCGUAUCUGACGCUCAGGCGCGACAGCGUGGGGAUCGAAACAAGG